AGCAAACAGGAUUAGAUACCCUGGUAGUCCACGCUGUAAACGAUGUCGAUUUGGAGUUUGUUGCCUAGAGUGAUGGGCUCCGAAGCUAACGCGAUAAAUCGACCGCCUGGGGAGUACGGCCGCAAGGUUAAAACUCAAAUGAAUUGACGGGGGCCCGCACAAGCGGUGGAGCAUGUGGUUUAAUUCGAUGCAACGCGAAGAACCUUACCUGGUCUUGACAUCCAUAGAAUUCUGCAGAGAUGUGGGAGUGCCUUCGGGAACUAUGAGACAGGUGCUGCAUGGCUGUCGUCAGCUCGUGUUGUGAAAUGUUGGGUUAAGUCCGCAACGAGCGCAACCCUUAUUCUUUGUUGCCAGCGAUUUGGUCGGGAACUCAAAGGAGACUGCCGUUGAUAAAGCGGAGGAAGGUGGGGACGACGUCAAGUCAUCAUGGCCCUUACGACCAGGGCUACACACGUGCUACAAUGGCGUAUACAAAGGGAAGCGAAGGUGCGAGCUGGAGCGGAUCUCAUAAAGUACGUCUAAGUUCGGAUUGGAGUCUGCAACUCGACUCCGUGAAGUCGGAAUCGCUAGUAAUCGUAGAUCAGAAUGCUACGGUGAAUACGUUCCCGGGCCUUGUACACACCGCCCGUCACACCAUGGGAGUGGGUUGCACCAGAAGUAGAUAGCUUAACCGCGAGGGGGGCGUUUACCACGGUGUGAUUCAUGACUGAGGUGAAGUCGUAACAAGGUAACCA
rnacentral:rRNA from 1 species